rnacentral:rRNA from 1 species
CAAUAGCGUAUAUUUAAGUUGUUGCAGUUAAAAAGCUCGUAGUUGGAUUUCGGUUAAGAGCGACCGGUCCGCCGUUUGGUGUGCACUGGUUGGUUUUAACUUCCUGUAGAGGACGUGCUCUGGGUUUAACGACCUGGACUCGGAGUCUACGUGGUUACUUUGAAAAAAUUAGAGUGUUCAAAGCGGGCUUACGCUUGAAUAUUUCAGCAUGGAAUAACACUAUAGGACUCCUGUCCUAUUUCGCUGGUCUCGGGACGGGAGUAAUGAUUAAGAGGAACAGUUGGGGGCAUUCGUAUUUCAUUGCCAGAGGUGAAAUUCUUGGAUUUAUGAAAGACGAACUUCUGCGAAAGCAUUUGCCAAGGAUGUUUUCAUUAA